rnacentral:tRNA from 1 species
GGUAAGAUGGCUGAGAGCUUAAGUGGUGGGUUGUAGCCCCUCAUACAGGGGUUAAAAUCCCCUUCUUAUCA